AAGUGAAGGAUUUUGUUUGUGAGAAACAUAAUUGGGCAGAGCGGUUACGAACAACAACGACAAGAGCAGUUAAGAACAACAAAGUUGGGAGGAGCAAGAAAAAGAAGGGGACUACGAGUUCAAGUCCUGCCUUAGACAUGAAAGCCGGCUGAGUGACCUUGGGCCAGUCAAUCCCUCUCAGCCCAAUUCACCCCAUAGAGUUCUUGUGAAGAAAACAGGAGGAAGAAGAUUUGAUUCCUGGUUAUUAUCUGGACUACUCAUUUCAGUUUUACUGACAAAUUUUUGGAAGUAGUUUGCCAUUGCCUUCUUCCCAGGACUGAGAGAGAAUGACUGGACAGGGACAAAGUUGCCUAACUAGCUUCAUGCUAAGACAUAUUCCAGAUACAGAAUUUGGGUCUUCAUAAACAGAAGAGUUCCUUCUCUUCACAAAAGUCAGCAGAUGUAUUCUAGUCUAAAGUAUGUUGCUGGAAUAUGUGGAGAAAAUGACUUUUAAAAGUAGGAGAAAACAUUAUGUUCCCCACCUUGAGCUCCAGUACCAUACGCUUUGUCAACUGCUGAGAAGGCAAGAGAGGAAGUAAGAAGCAGGAACAUGGAUGAAAUUGCUAGAAAGAAGGAGGGGCAAAAUUCAACUUUCUGGACGAGAACAAUUAACCAAAGAAACUGCUUGUCUUCAGAAGUUGUGGAUGUUCCAUCACUGGAGGUUUUAAAGAAGAGAUUGGUCAGCCACUUGUAUGGAAUGGGGAUGGGCUUCAGCAGGAGAUUGGAAUAGAAGACCUCUAAGGCCCCUUCCACUUUUAUUGUUCUGCUCUGC